rnacentral:lncRNA from 1 species
UUUGCCCAUCCACCUUAAUUAUUUCUUAUAUCUCUUCGCAAUUACAACAAAAAAAUUAUGAUCUCUCUCUCUCCCUCCCCCUCCGUCUCUCCGCCGAAAUACUCUCCACCGUCACAUCGGCGAUCGGAACUGAAUAUCUGACGCACGACGUUGUUUAGCAACUGGAUCUCCGACGCACGAACUGGACCUCUAAUGCACGACGCGGACUGGAACCAGAUCUCCGAUUCUCUCCUCUGCCUCUCUCUCUCCCCCUCCUCUCUCCGGCGAGACACUCUUCUCCACCAUCACGUCGGUGAUUGGAACUGAAUCCCCGACAGGCGCCGUUUCGCGACUAGAUCUUGGACGCACGAAACGGAUCUCCGAUGCACGACGGCGAUUAGAACCAGAUCUCUGAUUCUCUCCUCUUCCUCUCAACUCCACCGGUCACGUCUCCAUCUCAAGCUCCCUCGACG